GGCCAGACUCCUACGGGAGGCAGCAGUGGGGAAUAUUGCACAAUGGGGGAAACCCUGAUGCAGCGACGCCGCGUGAGUGAAGAAGUAUUUCGGUAUGUAAAGCUCUAUCAGCAGGGAAGAAAAUGACGGUACCUGACUAAGAAGCCCCGGCUAACUACGUGCCAGCAGCCGCGGUAAUACGUAGGGGGCAAGCGUUAUCCGGAUUUACUGGGUGUAAAGGGAGCGUAGACGGCAUGGCAAGUCAGAUGUGAAAGCCCGGGGCUCAACCCCGGGACUGCAUUUGAAACUGUCAGGCUGGAGUGCAGGAGAGGUAAGUGGAAUUCCUAGUGUAGCGGUGAAAUGCGUAGAUAUUAGGAGGAACACCGGUGGCGAAGGCGGCUUACUGGACUGUAACUGACGUUGAGGCUCGAAAGCGUGGGGAGCAAACAGGAUUAGAUACCCUCGUACUA
rnacentral:rRNA from 1 species